rnacentral:ncRNA from 1 species
ACAUGCAAGUAUCCGCGCCCCCGUGAGAAUGCCCUAAUAGUUCCCUGCCCGGGAACAAGGAGCCGGUAUCAGGCACAAUAAAACAUUAGCCCACAACACCUUGCUUUGCCACACCCUCAAGGGAAUUCAGCAGUGAUAAACAUUAAGCCAUAAGUGAAAACUUGACUUAGUAAAAGCUAAGAGGGCCGGUCAAACUCGUGCCAGCCACCGCGGUUAUACGAGAGGCCCGAGUCGAUAGUCAACGGCGUAAAGAGUGGUUAGAGAAAAUUCUAUACUAAAGCCGAACGCCCUCUAUGCUGUUAUACGCAUGCCGAAGGUGAGAAGCCCACCCACGAAAGUGGCUUUAUAAUCUUGAAUCCACGAAAGCUAAGGCACAAACUGGGAUUAGAUACCCCACUAUGCUUAGCCCUAAACAUUGACAACACCCUACAUAUGUUGUCCGCCUGGGAACUACGAGCAUAAGCUUAAAACCCAAAGGACUUGGCGGUGCUUUAGACCCACCUAGAGGAGCCUGUCCUAGAACCGAUAAUCCCCGUUCAACCUCACCCUUCCUUGUUUUUCCCGCCUAUAUACCGCCGUCGUCAGCUUACCCUGUGAAGGACUAAUAGUAAGCAAAAUUGGUACAACCCUAAACGCCAGGUCGAGGUGUAGCGUAUGGAGGGGGAAGAGAUGGGCUACAUUCUUUAGUACAGAGAAUACGAAUGGUGUGUUGAAAUUACAUGCCUGAAGGAGGAUUUAGCAGUAAGCAGGAAAUAGAGUGUCCAGCUGAAGUCGGCCCUGAAGCGCGCACACACCGCCCGUCACUCUCCCCAAACAAUUAAAUUCACUUAAAUAAAACCUCAUCACAGUAGAGGGGAGGCAAGUCGUAACAUGGUAAGUGUACCGGAAGGUGCACUUGGCACAAAUU